AUACGUAGGGGGCGAGCGUUGUCCGGAAUGAUUGGGCGUAAAGGGCGCGUAGGCGGCCCGGUAAGUCUGGAGUGAAAGUCCUGUUUUUAAGAUGGGAAUUGCUUUGGAUACUGUCGGGCUUGAGUGCAGGAGAGGUAAGUGGAAUUCCCAGUGUAGCGGUGAAAUGCGUAGAGAUUGGGAGGAACACCAGUGGCGAAGGCGACUUACUGGACUGUAACUGACGCUGAGGCGCGAAAGUGUGGGGAGCAAACAGGAUUAGAUACCCUGGUAGUCCACACUGUAAACGAUGAAUGCUAGGUGUAGGGGGUAUCGACCCCUUCUGUGCCGCAGUCAACACAAUAAGCAUUCCGCCUGGGGAGUACGAUCGCAAGAUUGAAACUUAAAGGAAUUGACGGGG
rnacentral:rRNA from 1 species